CCUACGGGUGGCAGCAGUGAGGAAUAUUGGUCAAUGGGAGAGAUCCUGAACCAGCCAAGCCGCGUGAGGGAAGACGGCCCUAUGGGUUGUAAACCUCUUUUGUCGGGGGACAAAACCAGGGACGUGUCCCGGACUGCGUGUAUCCGAAGAAAAAGCAUCGGCUAACUCCGUGCCAGCAGCCGCGGUAAUACGGAGGAUGCGAGCGUUAUCCGGAUUUAUUGGGUUAAAAGGGUGCGUAGGCGGUCCGUUAAGUCAGUGGUAAAAUUGCGGGGCUCAACCCCGCCGAGCCGCUGAAACUGGCAGACUUGAGUUGGCGGGAGGUAGGCGGAAUGCGCGGUGUAGCGGUGAAAUGCAUAGAUAUCGCGAAGAACUCCGAUUGCGAAGGCAGCGUACCGUCGCCAGACUGACGCUGAGGCACGAAAGCGUGGGGAUCGAACAGGAUUAGAUACCCUUGUAGUC
rnacentral:rRNA from 1 species